UCCGAGCAACGGUGCUUCGGAGCUCCAAACUCGGGCUGCCGGGGCAAGUGUCUUCAUGAACCCAGAGGAUGUCCGGGAAGCACUACAAGGGUCCUGAAGUCAGUUGUUGCAUCAAAUACUUCAUAUUUGGCUUCAAUGUCAUAUUUUGGUUUUUGGGAAUAACAUUUCUUGGAAUUGGACUGUGGGCAUGGAAUGAAAAAGGAGUUCUGUCCAACAUCUCUUCCAUCACCGAUCUCGGCGGCUUUGACCCAGUUUGGCUCUUCCUUGUGGUGGGAGGAGUGAUGUUCAUUUUGGGAUUUGCAGGGUGCAUUGGAGCGCUACGGGAAAACACUUUCCUUCUCAAGUUUGUAAGUAUUCCACUCUCUACUCUCAGAUUGAGAGCCAAAACUUUACCUUCCAUCAGGAGGUCACCCUAUCUACAGGCAAGACAGUGAGCUGUACCAAAGGCACUGGCCAAAGUAGGGCCCAGGUCAUUAUUUUCUUUUGAGAGAGCUCUCUAGCCCUGAUUCCCAGUUGUGCCUCCUUAAUAAGUACACCACC
rnacentral:sRNA from 1 species